CGAUAAUCAUAAUUUCGUAUAGCAUAUUCUUUAACUAAAUAGAUAAUACUAGAUUGUGAUGUUUACAUGCAGCCACUAACAUGCUGAAUUUAUCACGGAAUCACAUCAACUACAGACAAACCAACUAGUGAUUAAAAAUCAAGAGCUAGGCUCUUUCUAGUUCUUCAAAUUGCAAUGCCGAAGCUUAAAGAAGAAAAAGAUUUCUUUUAACAUACACGAAUUGCAACAGUUGUUCAAUACCACAUAUUGCAAACCAAGGCUGAAAUAUGUUAUCGCAACCAUGUAUUAACUCAAUCCUAAGCAUAUGAGCUUAGCCUAGCGUUGAGCCAUGAAUAUAGGAAGGCAAUACUGUCAAGUCAGAUGUACAAUCGGAGACCUUCAAGCUACCAAACAUGGAUAUCAGUAGCUCAGUCAAGCUGAAACUAUCAUGAACUUGGAGUGGUUUUCUUAUUCUAACUGAACCAAUAGCUAAUUCUAAUAGAUGACACGAUCAUGUUCCACAAUCCCCUUUGACAAGGUAUUAAAAUGAAUGUAUGCAGACUUCAUAGCAGUAAAAUCUCCUGCUGCAAUCAUCUAAACCACAAACAUAAGUUGGCCAACAGUGAAUGCUCUAGCAUCUUCAACAGAAGGGAAUGCGCAGCUAAUAAUGAUCAAAUUCAAACAAGGUCAACAGAUAUAGUCUAGAAUACUUAAAAUAUGAGUACAUAACAUGCUACAAUCAGAUGCAUAGAUUCAUUGAGAAGAUACUAGCAUAGCUUGUAAACCACAUUAUCAUACGAUUGCAUAUGCAUUAACCUUAACAAUCAAUGUAAAAAAAAGCUACUGCUAGUAAAAAAUCUAGAGUUCAGUCCAAAACUUCACAUUAGUUCAACCUUAGGGCACAUCAAAGUCCAGGAAAUCAGCAUAACAAACAAUACUACAUUUGAGCCAACAGUAAAAACAAAAGAGAAGAAACAGAUGGCUAUAUUCCUUUCAAUUUCUCAUUAAAAUUUCAAACACAUGUGAGGACCCUUGCAAUCACUUGCUGCUUAUGGUUGGCAGAUUUACCUGGAAAUGAGGCAAAAACCAAGAGAUAGGGAAUCAGUGAUCUGGUGACAGAAGAGCAGCAACAAAUAUCCCCAAAGCUUUUCAUAAUCCAAACUCAAAACAUUUCAAUCAAAGAGAGCACAUGAAUAAUGCAUUUAUCAUUGAAGAACCACCGAACCCCCAAAAGUGUAAUGAAAUAGUGUUUUUCAUUUUGCCUUCGGCUAUUUCUCUCUUUUUUUUUUUGACUGCUCCCUCUGGAGGACCCCCCUAAGGCAGGAAAAUGUGUCCUUUUAUGGGAAAAGGAAUGGGACACCACUGUGAAAUUCGUUUUUCCUCUUAGUCCCCGAAAUCUUGGCUAGCUUGCCAAGUAAAGCCCCUUUUCUAGCUUCUAGGAAGUUUCCUAGGCAAUUACCCAAUCUACCCCUGAAUUCCCCUGAUUUUACUGCAAAAGACUUAUUCGGUUAUAGGUCCAACGACCUAACAAUUGAACAAGGCCUGGGCUCAAACUGAACUGUGAGAUGAAUUCACGGCCCAAAUUGCACACAAAUUUUCCAAACUCAAACUACAUUAGAAUAACUCGACAACAUAGAAUGCAAAAAUUAGCUCAGCUAGACCAAACAAAUUUAAACAAAACUGGCCAGAAAACUCAUAGAAAAAAAAUUGAAAAAGACUGCUUUAAAGAGAACAAAAUGGGCAAAACCAAUUCUGUCUAAAACUUGUCCAACUUUAAAACUGCGUACUGGAAAGGAAAGAAGAAAGGAAGGGGGGGGAGGGGGGAAGGGACAAGAUCUGAGAAGCCAAAUAGUAAAUCAAAUAGAAAAGGAUGAAGAUACUAACUAAGUUUGGACUCGACCUCGACUGACCUUCCAAAUUAAACCUUAAAAGGAUAUUAAUCGUCUGUUUUUUGUCAAUAACAGGCGAAUAACAUCGCUUUGUGAUAAAACCGGCCUUGAAUAUUCAUAGAACUUGGAGAGUUACCAUUGCAUGAACGGGUUUCGACUUUGGCUUUUAGGGUUGGAAAUCUAGAUCCAAGAUUCAAGAAAUUUCGGUUGGAUUUGAUGAAAACAGGUUUGAGAUUUGAGUUGUGGGGGCCAAGGUGAGUCUAUGGAAUAAUUUUAGUGGAGAUUGAAUACUUGCCACCGGCAACCAUGGCUGAGUUGCUCAAGGACAGCGUAAGUUUAGUAAAGAAGAUGACAGAAACGAUUAGUUUGGUCUUAGGAUAAUGGGGAAUUUUAGACACAUUUAAGAGAAUCAGGGAAUUGACACCAGCCCUUUGAUUAGAUUUGGAUGGAAGGCCAGGAUUUUUUUUAACUCUUGAACUCAAAAUGACAUAGUAUGGCUUCAGUAC
rnacentral:lncRNA from 1 species